rnacentral:rRNA from 1 species
UACAGAGGUCCCAAGCGUUGUUCGGAUUCACUGGGCGUAAAGGGUGCGUAGGCGGUCGGGUAAGUCUGAUGUGAAAUCUCACAGCUUAACUGUGAAACUGCAUUGGAUACUAUUCGGCUUGAGAGUUGGAGGGGGGACUGGAAUUCCUGGUGUAGCGGUGAAAUGCGUAGAUAUCAGGAGGAACACCGGUGGUGUAGACGGCUUUCUGGACCGUAACUGACGCUGAGACACGAAAGCGUGGGUAGCAAACAGG